UACGAAGGGUGCAAGCGUUACUCGGAAUUACUGGGCGUAAAGGGUGCGUAGGUGGUUUGUUAAGUCUGCUGUGAAAUCCCCGGGCUCAACCUGGGAAUGGCAGUGGAUACUGGCAAGCUAGAGUGCGGUAGAGGGUAGUGGAAUUCCCGGUGUAGCAGUGAAAUGCGUAGAGAUCGGGAGGAACACCAGUGGCGAAGGCGGCUACCUGGACCAGCACUGACACUGAGCUGCGAAAGCUAGGGGAGCAAACAGG
rnacentral:rRNA from 1 species